rnacentral:piRNA from 1 species
ACCUUGGGAAGAGCAGAUAAUGCUCUUAAC